GAAUAUUUGAACAUACGUGGACUCGCAAUCUGAUCAAGAAAAGCCGUUAUGAACAUUUUGAGUUAAUUACAAAAGAACAUAUCGAAUGGAGCUGAAGGAUUUUCAAAUAUAAUCUUGAUGAUUUCACUGGCGUGAGGAUGGGCUGCAUGUCAACAGGAGCUUAUCACCUAUAAUAUCGAGAGGCGGGGGAAAAUAGAUGCUGAGGCCUGUGGGUGUGGUGGAUGAAUUAAUGGGAAAUUAAAUGGUUCUGAGAUCUGUUUGCCGUACCGCUGGAAUCUGCUUCGUGUUGCCAACGUACGCCACAUGCCUUCAGCCGUUGCAGAUUGUGUCGUGAUGUUUAAUUUAUCGUGUAAAUAUCAAUGUGAAAAAAAAAAACGAUGUGAGAAAGAAACCGUGGUGCGAUGAUACGAGGAGAUAACGAGAAGUGAAGUGCGAGCACAAGAGUCUUCAACGACCACAAGGAAACGAGGAGAAAUCAUCAUGAGUGGCGUGCACUUUAUGGUUGGAGAAAGGAAUGGAAGAUGAGCAGAAAAGAUGUCUUGGGCGUGUGAAACCAUCCAUUAGGUCAUUGCCGCCUGAAGUUUCAAAUUCAAAUUUCAGACAGUUUUCUACUUUCUACGGAACGUUGCAGAGCUAGCGGUACCUUAUCGACUUGAAAUCUUCCUGGAGAUCUACUUUAUCCAAUGCAGAAUAAUUCGAUGAAGUACAGAGAACCGAGACAAACUGGACAAACGUCUCAAUAAUACGAUGAGGGGCAGAGAAGAUUGACUUGAGUAGUGCCACCCCAAGGAAGAGAGGGCGUCACACGCAACGCUGCGGUGUCCCGCUGUCAGAGGGAUGGGGUUGAUGGGGUGAAUGUUCUUUUCUGCGUUACGGAAUUGGUAUUUACUGAAAUUGAAAAAUUCAAAAUUUUCAAAAAAGUAUCAGGGG